GUAGGGAAUAUUGCGCAAUGGACGAAAGUCUGACGCAGCGACGCCGCGUGAGUGAUGAAGGCCUUAGGGUCGUAAAGCUCUGUUGAAUGGGAAGAAAAAAAUGACGGUACCAUUCGAGGAAGGACCGGCUAACUUCGUGCCAGCAGCCGCGGUAAUACGAGGGGUCCUAGCGUUGUUCGGAAUCAUUGGGCGUAAAGGGUGUGUAGGUGGCCAUGUAAGUCAGGUGUGAAAGCCCCGGGCUCAACCCGGGAAGUGCACUUGAUACUGCGUGGGUUGAGUACCGAAGAGGGUAGUGGAAUUCCAGGUGUAGUGGUGAAAUACGUAGAUAUCUGGAGGAACACCGGUGGCGAAGGCGGCUACCUGGUCGAGUACUGACACUGAGACACGAAAGCAUGGGGAUCAAACAGGAUUAGAUACCCCGGUAGUCC
rnacentral:rRNA from 1 species